GACGAACGCUGGCGGCGUGCCUAAUACAUGCAAGUCGAGCGAAGAUUUUCUGGUUCUUGCGCUAGAACAACUUAGCGGCGAACGGGUGAGUAACACGUAACGAACCUGCCUCAUAGAGUGGGACAACUAUAGGAAACGAUAGCUACUACCGGAUAACAGUAUUUCUCGCAUGAGAGAUGUUUGAAAGUUGGUUAUGCUAACACUAUGAGAUGGCUUUGCGGUGCAUUAGCUAGUUGGUGGGGUAAAGGCCCACCAAGGCGGCGAUGCAUAGCCGACCUGAGUGGGUGGUCGCCCACACUGGGACUGAGACACCGCCCAGGCUCCUGCGGUAGGCAGCAGUAGGGUAUCUUCCGCAGUGGGCGAAAGCCUGACGGAGCGGCGCCGCGUGAGUUAAGAAGGAUUUCGGUGCGGAAAGCUCUGUUGUUAGUGAAGAAUGGAUAUGUAGUAACUAGAAGUGUGAGUGACGGUACCUAGUCAGAAAGCCACGGCUAACUACGUG
rnacentral:rRNA from 1 species